GGCUGUGAAGAUUUCCCUCUCCAUCCAUCUCCUGCUAUAUCACAAAGGAUUUACGAGUAGACAGCUCAAUGGAAGCAGCACCACAACUUGAAACUACGGAUGGGAGAAGCUCUGAUGCAGCUGCAGCUCAAAGGUUGAAGAGGCC